UCCUGUGCCUUCCUUAUUUAAUUCUCCCUUAAGGCAUCAGCAGUGAUUAAAGUAAACAGUGUUCUAUUAUUUCUAAUGUACAUGCACGCCAGAGAAAAGGCCCAAAUCUUGGCUUCCUUCACAGGGACUGCUCCGUGCCAGACUGCUAGUACAAAGAAACUUCAAAGAACAUUUUGGUAAUGCCUGACAUUUCCCUCAUUUUGAGACAAUUUCUGGCUAUUAAAGCAUGGAUGCCCUGGACAAGCAAGCAUCUCUGAAGCUUCACUCCAGUAUUUGCAGUAUGCACACUGCUUUUAAGGUACAGCAUUUUUCACAAGGCAAAUGUGGGAGAAAGAAAACAUGAUGAGAAAGAUCUACAUUCCUCAGUGGUAAGU
rnacentral:lncRNA from 1 species